CGCGUAGGCGGUCCCGCACGUCGGAGGUGAAAUCCCCGGGCUCAACCCGGGAGCUGCCUCCGAUACGGCGGGGCUUGAGUCCGGGAGAGGGGAGCAGAAUUCCCAGUGUAGCGGUGAAAUGCGUAGAUAUUGGGAGGAAUACCGGUGGCGAAGGCGGCUCCCUGGACCGGUACUGACGCUGAGGCGCGAAAGCGUGGGUAGCAAACAGGAUUAGAUACCCUGGUAGUCCACGCCGUAAACGAUGGGUGCUUGGUGUCGGGGGUAUCGACCCCUCCGGUGCCGAAGCUAACGCAUUAAGCACCCCGCCUGGGGAGUACGGUCGCAAGGCUGAA
rnacentral:rRNA from 1 species